CCCAGUGUGGCCGAGCGGUCUAAGGCGCUGGAUUCAAGUUCCAUUCUCCUAGGAGGCGUGGGUUCGAAUCCCACCACUGCCA